rnacentral:rRNA from 1 species
AUACGGAGGAUGCGAGCGUUAUCCGGAUUUAUUGGGUUUAAAGGGUGCGUAGGCUGUGCGUUAAGUCAGGGGUGAAAUGCCGUCGCUCAACGACGGAGCUGCCCUUGAUACUGGCGUGCUGGAGUACGGAUGCCGUUGGAGGAAUGAGUGGUGUAGCGGUGAAAUGCUUAGAUAUCACUCAGAACACCGACUGCGAAGGCAUCUGACGAAUCCGUCACUGACGCUGAGGCACGAAAGCGUGGGGAUAGAACAGGAUUAGAUACCCUGGUAUUCCACGCCGUAAACGAUGAUGACUAACCGUCGGCGAUAGACAGCCGGUGGCCAAGCGAAAGCGAUAAGUCAUCCACCUGGGGAGUACGUCGGCAACGAUGAAACUCAAAGGAAUUGACGGGG